GACAGAGGGGGCAAGCGUUGUUCGGAAUUACUGGGCGUAAAGGGCUCGUAGGCGGCCAACUAAGUCAGACGUGAAAUCCCUCGGCUUAACCGGGGAACUGCGUCUGAUACUGGAUGGCUUGAAUCCGGGAGAGGGAUGCGGAAUUCCAGGUGUAGCGGUGAAAUGCGUAGAUAUCUGGAGGAACACCGGUGGCGAAGGCGGCAUCCUGGACCGGCAUUGACGCUGAGGAGCGAAAGCCAGGGGAGCAAACGGG
rnacentral:rRNA from 1 species